UACUGAUACCACUUUAUCCAGGAUGGCCAUUGCUUAAUUGAACCAUUGGAAAAAGCUACAAAACUCUAUGCCUUUGUGCACUGGUUUACUAUAAAAGGGAACUUGCAAUUGAGACUAACCUGAAAAACAAUUAUUUUGAUUAUUCUUAGUUCUUGGAUUACUCCUCAAAAAGCUACAAACUCUAUGCCUUUGUGCACUGGUUUACUAUAAAAGGGAACUUGCAAUUGAGAUUAACCUGAGAAACAAUUAUUUUGAUUAUUCUUAGUUCUUGGAUUACUCCUCAACCCUAUCUUCUCAUUUAUCUUUCAGUCCUAACAAUUUGCUGGACCUACAACUCCUGCUUCCUAAUUCCUGGUUCACAGCAGAUUACUAGUUGCAUUCUGAUCCAGUUCAAGGCAAGAAAUAUGCAGGGUGGUUGAUCAUUGCCUUCCUCUAAAAUGUAACCAACAGGAAGUGUUCUUCCUCCAUUGUGCCCCUUCCAGGUACUAAUUCAGUUUGACCCUGCUCAGAUUUAAUGUUCAUUUGGGAUAUGGUGCCUUCAGGGUAUUUGGGUUAACAAUGAAUCAACACAUGGUGUCUACCAAAAGCUGAUGGUCAUAGUGAUUUCAUAGUACCUCUACUACCAGAACCAAUAUACCUUUCUGAAGAACGCUUUAAAAAUGCUAUGGUGCUGAAGUCCUGCUUGUGGGCUUCCCAUGAGCAUUUGUUUGGAAUCUGAGGGGAACAAAAAACUCGACUAAAUGGACACUUGGUCUGAUUCCGUAGAGUUGUUCUUGUAUCCUCCACAUGCACACAUACAACCAUAAUUUGGGACUAAGAAGGAAUACUUAACUGAUCUACAAUGUUCCCAGAAAUGUAGCCCUGUUUAACAAUCAGAAAGAGUUGCUGAAGUUGAUGUCUGUCAAAUGUGCUGGGCCCAAUGCCUCCCAGUUAAGACUAAUGCAGGUCCCUAAACAGAACUAUGUCAAUGAUAAAUUACUCUAAAACUGCUAAAUGUGCAAACU
rnacentral:lncRNA from 1 species